rnacentral:misc_RNA from 1 species
AACGCACCUUGCGCUCCUUGGUAUUCCGAGGAGCAUGCCUGUUUGAGUGUCAUUAAAUUCUCAACCUCUCUAGUUUUUUGACUAGUAGAUGGCUUGGAUUUGGGAGUAAUUUUUGCAGGCUUUCACAAGUCAGCUCUCCUUAAAUGUAUUAGCCGGUGCCCUCUAACCGUCUAUUGGUGUGAUAAUUAUCUACGCCGUGGACUAUUAGACUUUGGUUGCGCUGCUUAUAAUCGUCCUCUGGACAAUAUAAUGACAUUUUGACCUCAAAUCAGGUAGGACUACCCGCUGAACUUAA